rnacentral:rRNA from 1 species
AGUAGUUUGAUCAGUGGCUCGAGGACGAACGCUGGCGGCGUGCUUAACACAUGCAAGUCGAACGAGGUGAUUGAAAGCUUGCUUUUGAGAACCGAGUGGCAAACGGGUGAGUAACGCGUAGACAACCUGCCGCAAAGAUGGGGGACAACAUCCCGAAAGGGGGUGCUAAUACCGAAUGUUGUCAAGUUUCCGCAUGGGAGCUUGAUUAAAGAUGGCCUCUACUUGUAAGCUAUCGCUUUGCGAUGGGUCUGCGUCUGAUUAGCUGGUUGGUGGGGUAACGGCCUACCAAGGCGACGAUCAGUAGGGGUUCUGAGAGGAAGGUCCCCCACAUUGGUACUGAGACACGGACCAAACUCC